AGAGAAUAGAUACCCUGGUAGUCCACGCCGUAAACGAUGAUGACUAGCUGUCGGGGCUCAUGGAGUUUCGGUGGCGCAGCUAACGCGUUAAGUCAUCCGCCUGGGGAGUACGGCCGCAAGGUUAAAACUCAAAGAAAUUGACGGGGGCCUGCACAAGCGGUGGAGCAUGUGGUUUAAUUCGAAGCAACGCGCAGAACCUUACCAGCGUUUGACAUGGUAGGACGGUUUCCAGAGAUGGAUUCCUUCCCUUACGGGACCGUACACACAGGUGCUGCAUGGCUGUCGUCAGCUCGUGUCGUGACGAUGUUGGGUU
rnacentral:rRNA from 1 species